rnacentral:rRNA from 1 species
CCUACGGGGGGCAGCAGUGGGGAAUAUUGGGCAAUGGGGGGAACCCUGACCCAGCGACGCCGCGUGAGGGAAGAAGGUUUUCGGAUUGUAAACCUCUGUUCUUGGCGAAGAAGCCAGACGGUAGCCAAGGAGGAAGCCCCGGCUAACUACGUGCCAGCAGCCGCGGUAAUACGUAGGGGGCGAGCGUUGUCCGGAAUGAUUGGGCGUAAAGGGCGCGUAGGCGGCAUGUUAAGUCUGAAGUGAAAGUCCUAUAUUUAAGGUAGGAAUUGCUUUGGAAACUGAUGUGCUUGAGUGCAGGAGAGGUCAUCGGAAUUCCCAGUGUAGCGGUGAAAUGCGUAGAGAUUGGGAGGAACACCAGUGGCGAAGGCGGGUGGCUGGACUGUAACUGACGCUGAGGCGCGAAAGUGUGGGGAGCAAACAGGAUUAGAUACCCGUGUAGUC